rnacentral:rRNA from 1 species
UGCUUUACACAUGCAAGUCGAACGGCAGCACGGGAGCUUGCUCCUGGUGGCGAGUGGCGAACGGGUGAGUAAUAUAUCGGAACGUAUCCAAUAAUGGGGGAUGACUAGUCGAAAGAUUAGCUAAUACCGCAUACGCCCUGAGGGGGAAAGCUGGGGAUCUUCGGACCUAGCGUUAAUGGAGCGGCCGAUAUCUGAUUAGCUAGUAGGUGAGGUAAAGGCUCACCUAGGCUUCGAUCAGUAGCUGGUCUGAGAGGACGACCAGCCACACUGGAACUGAGACACGGUCCAGACUCCUACGGGAGGCAGCAGUGGAGAAUUUUGGACAAUGGGCGCAAGCCUGAUCCAGCCAUUCCGCGUGAGUGAAGAAGGCCUUCGGGUUGUAAAGCUCUUUCGCAAGGGAAGAAAACUUAACCUCUAACAUAGGUUGAGGCUGACGGCACCUUGAUAAGAAGCACCGGCUAACUACGUGCCAGCAGCCGCGGUAAUACGUAGGGUGCGAGCGUUAAUCGGAAUUACUGGGCGUAAAGCGUGCGCAGGCGGCAUGAUAAGUCAGAUGUGAAAUCCCCGAGCUCAACUUGGGAACUGCGUUUGAAACUAUCAAGCUAGAAUAUGUCAGAGGGGGGUAGAAUUCCACGUGUAGCAGUGAAAUGCGUAGAGAUGUGGAGGAAUACCAAUGGCGAAGGCACCCCCUGGGAUAAUAUUGACGCUCAUGCACGAAAAGCGUGGGGAGCAAACAGGAUUAGAUACCCUGGUAGU